rnacentral:rRNA from 1 species
GAUGAACGCUGGCGGCGUGCUUAACACAUGCAAGUCGAACGAAGAAGCCCAGCUUGCUGGGUGGAUUAGUGGCGAACGGGUGAGUAACACGUGAGUAACCUGCCCUUAACUCUGGGAUAAGCCUGGGAAACUGGGUCUAAUACCGGAUAGGAGCGCCUACCGCAUGGUGGGUGUUGGGAAGAUUUAUCGGUUUUGGAUGGACUCGCGGCCUAUCAGCUUGUUGGUGAGGUAAUGGCUCACCAAGGCGACGACGGGUAGCCGGCCUGAGAGGGUGACCGGCCACACUGGGACUGAGACACGGCCCAGACUCCUACGGGAGGCAGCAGUGGGGAAUAUUGCACAAUGGGCGAAAGCCUGAUGCAGCGACGCCGCGUGAGGGAUGACGGCCUUCGGGUUGUAAACCUCUUUCAGUAGGGAAGAAGCGAAAGUGACGGUACCUGCAGAAGAAGCACCGGCUAACUACGUG